UACGUAGGUGACCAGCGUUUGUCCGGAUUUACUGGGCGUAAAGAGCGCGCAGGCGGUCGUUCAAGUCGAGUGUGAAAGCCCCCGGCUCAACUGGGGAGGGUCAUUCGAUACUGAUCGACUUGAAGGCAGGAGAGGGAAGUGGAAUUCCCGGUGUAGUGGUGAAAUGCGUAGAUAUGGGGAGGAACACCGGUGGCGAAGGCGGCCAUCUGGACGGAUAUUGACGCUGAGACGCGAAAGCGUGGGUAGCAAACAGG
rnacentral:rRNA from 1 species